UACGUAGGCAGCAAGCGUUGUUCGGAGUUACUGGGCGUAAAGAGUACGUAGGCGGUUUGCUAAGCCUGGUGUGAAAUCUCCUGGCUUAACUGGGAGGGUGCGCUAGAUACUGGCAGGCUUGAGUAUAGGAGAGGAGAGUGGAAUUCCUGGUGUAGCGGUGAAAUGCGUAGAUAUCGGGAGGAACACCGGUGGCGAAGGCGGCCCCCUGGUUGGAUACUGACGCUGAGACGCGAAAGCGUGGGGAGCAAACAGG
rnacentral:rRNA from 1 species